rnacentral:rRNA from 1 species
UGGCUCAGAUGAACGCUGCGGCAUGCUUUACACAUGCAAGUCGAACGGCAGCACGAGUGCUUGCACUUGGUGGCGAGUGGCGAACGGGUGAGUAAUGCAUUGGAACGUGCCUUGUAUUGGGGGAUAACUGAGCGAAAGCUUAGCUAAUACCGCAUACGCCCUGAGGGGGAAAGCUGGGGAUCGUUUGACCUGGCGAUAUAAGAGCGGCCAAUGUCUGAUUAGCUAGUUGGUGAGGUAAAGGCUUACCAAGGCGACGAUCAGUAGCGGGUCUGAGAGGAUGAUCCGCCACACUGGGACUGAGAGACGGCCCAGACUCCUACGGGAGGCAGCAGUGGGGAAUUUUGGACAAUGGGGGGAACCCUGAUCCAGCCAUGCCGCGUGUCUGAAGAAGGCCUUCGGGUUGUAAAGGACUUUUGUUGGGGAGCAAAGGUAUCUGGUUAAGAGCUGGAGAUUAUGAGAGUACCCAAAGAAUAAGCACCGGCUAACUACGUG